AUUCGUUCCAGGAGGGGUUACAGAACAGGCGCGCAGGCGCCUUCCUCCUCUCCCCCUCUCAAUCCCCUCUCCCAAUUCCUUCAGAUCCGACGAUUUGGUCCGUGGAUUUCUUCACCAAUCCAUCCUAGAAGGAUGGUUUGGCUUCUCAAUGAUCACUGGGACCGGAAACACCGGUCGUACGCGUUGUCGGUGCACCAAGAGGAUCUUCAACGUCUGAAGUUUCGGUCUCACGGGGUCUCGGGGAUGCGGUAUGAUGAGCGAUACACACCUUAUGAAAGGGAGACAUGACUCCUCCCUUUCAUUCAGUUGGUCAGCCGGUCGACGCCAUCCCUCAAUGCUGCAGCAAUCACCGCGCUUGUUGAUCAUUGGAGGCCAGAGAUACACACUUUCCAUCUUCGGACCAGGGAGAUGACCGUGAUGCUCUAGGAUAUUGCUAUGAUCACCUAGCUUCCUACCGAGGGUAAUUCUCUAUGUAUGAGCACCGAUUCUAACGGGUGGCGCGAGCAGAUGCAUGCCCUUAUUGGUAUGGUUCCACUAGUGCAGAACAGGGCUAUAGCUCCGGCUGGUAAGGGCCUUUAGUGCCGAUUCUGUAACCGGCACUAAAGGGUGGGUGUCGCUGUCAAAACCGGCGGAUCUCGGGUAGGGGGUACCGAUCUGUG